UACAGAGGUCUCAAGCGUUGUUCGGAUUCAUUGGGCGUAAAGGGUGCGUAGGCGGCGCGGUAAGUCGGGUGUGAAAGCCCCCGGCUCAACUGGGGAGGGUCACGCGAUACUGUUCGACUCGAAGGCAGGAGAGGGAAGUGGAAUUCCCGGUGUAGUGGUGAAAUGCGUAGAUAUCGGGAGGAACACCAGUGGCGAAGGCGACUUCCUGGCCUGUUCUUGACGCUGAGGCGCGAAAGCUAGGGGAGCAAACGGG
rnacentral:rRNA from 1 species